rnacentral:ncRNA from 1 species
UCUAUACACAGGCGAAAGCACUGUAUACACUUGUGUCUUGAUGAUAUAUUAAGUGUGCUGUGUGUACACCAAGCCAAGUGGAGAAAACCACCCUUAGGGGUGGUUUUCUUUUUACCCUA